UAGAUUCAUGGACCUACCCAAGCAGAUAAGCA
rnacentral:piRNA from 1 species